rnacentral:rRNA from 1 species
CCUACGGGUGGCAGCAGUGGGGAAUAUUGCACAAUGGGGGAAACCCUGAUGCAGCGACGCCGCGUGAGUGAAGAAGUAAUUCGGUAUGUAAAGCUCUAUUAGCAGGGAAGAAAAUGACGGUACCUGAGUAAGAAGCCCCGGCUAACUACGUGCCAGCAGCCGCGGUAAUACGUAGGGGGCAAGCGUUAUCCGGAUUUACUGGGUGUAAAGGGAGCGUAGGCGGGAGUGCAAGUCUGGUGUGAAAGGCGGGGGCUCAACCCUCGGACUGCUCUGGAAACUGUACGGCUGGAGUGCAGGAGAGGUAGGUGGAAUUCCUGGUGUAGCGGUAAAAUGCGUAGAGAUCAGGAGGAAUACUAGUGGCGAAGGCGGCUUACUGGACUGUAACUGACGUUGAGGCUCGAAAGCGUGGGGAGCAAACAGGAUUAGAUACCCUUGUAGUC